UACGGGGGGGGCAAGCGUUGUUCGGAAUUACUGGGCGUAAAGGGCUCGUAGGUGGCCAACUAAGUCAUACGUGAAAUCCCUCGGCUUAACCGGGGAACUGCGUCUGAUACUGGAUGGCUUGAGGUUGGGAGAGGGAUGCGGAAUUCCAGGUGUAGCGGUGAAAUGCGUAGAUAUCUGGAGGAACACCGGUGGCGAAGGCGGCAUCCUGGACCGACACUGACACUGAGGAGCGAAAGCCAGGGGAGCAAACGGG
rnacentral:rRNA from 1 species